rnacentral:rRNA from 1 species
UUUGACCAUGUGCCGGCGGCCGGGGUAAGACGUAGGGUGGAAUCGGUUGGCGGGUUGACUUGGCGUAAAGCGUGCGCAGGCGGGUGCUGAAGUCGGACGUGAAAGGUCCGGGCGCGACUGGGAGAGGUCGUUCGAAACGGGGCGGCGGGAGGGUGGAAGAGGAGAGCGGAAUUCCCGGUGUAGGGGGUGAAUGCGUAGAUAUCGGGGGGAACACCAGUGGCGAAAGCGGCUCUCUGGUCCACACCUGACGCUCAGGUGCGAAAGCGUGGGUAGCGAACGGGAUUAGAUACCCCGGUAGUC